GGGGAAUAUUGCACAAUGGAGGGAACUCUGAUGCAGCAACGCCGCGUGAGCGAAGAAGGUUUUAGGAUCGUAAAGCUCUGUCCUAGGGGAAGAUAAUGACGGUACCCGAGGAGGAAGCCCCGGCUAACUACGUGCCAGCAGCCGCGGUAAUACGUAGGGGGCGAGCGUUGUCCGGAAUUAUUGGGCGUAAAGGGUGCGUAGGCGGCUGAACAAGUCAGAUGUGAAAGGUUAAGGCUUAACUUUAAUAAGCAUAUGAAACUGUUCAGCUUGAGUUAAGGAGAGGGGAGUGGAAUUCCUAGUGUAGCGGUGAAAUGCGUAGAUAUUAGGAGGAAUACCAGUGGCGAAGGCGACUCUCUGGACUUAAACUGACGCUGAGGCACGAAAGCGUGGGGAGCAAAC
rnacentral:rRNA from 1 species